AGGGAAGACGACGGGUGCCACAUUUCUUCUACAGUUUGCCACAGCUCUCUGCAAACUGACAAAAAGAUGGAGCUGCAGUGGAAUAAACAUAGCAGUACAGAUCUGACCUUUGACCUCUCCAGUGGACCAUAACUCUUCAUAAGCAUGCAUGGGCAUCAUUUAGCUCAUUUUUGAGCAAGUGUGUGAGUGACUGGAGUAAUGGCAGACUGAUGGACGGACGUCAUCCCUCUCUAAUGAUGGCUGAGAGAAGACACCCAUUCCAUCAUCCCCCUCUCAUCUCCUCUUCCCCCAAUCUCAUCUGAUCUGAUAUUAACAGCCAGUAUUAAAAUCAUGCAACGCCUUAACAGACUCAUUUAAAAUUAAUAACUGGUAAUUAUGGAGGAAGCUGGUUCACAGUAGCUUCGGAGGGGGAAGGGACUAAAAGAUGGAGACAAGGAAUGGAGGACAGUGAAUCUGGUCAUAGCUCUAGUGUCAAUAAUGAACACGUUAAUGGUAUCACUUCUUAAAUCAGACGGACUGAGAUCCCUCCUACAUUAUUUAUUUACUUGUUUUGAAGAUUUUUGGGUCUUGUAUUUUAAGAAGAAG